GGAGAUUUGUGCCUGAGGAUCAAAUAUUAUGGAGCGGGUCAGAUGUUUAAUUGGGGAUGGGCGCUCAGUGGAGGUGGUCCAGGAUGUCUAGAUUUUGACACUUUCUCUCUCCCACUGGCCGACCUUCUUCAGUAGUGAGGUGAGUGACGAUUUGUGGGUUUGUGACCUCAUUACUGAAGAUGGCGUGUGUUGGAGAGUGCA
rnacentral:lncRNA from 1 species